rnacentral:rRNA from 1 species
AGAACGAACGCUGGCGGCAGGCUUAACACAUGCAAGUCGAGCGCCCCGCAAGGGGAGCGGCAGACGGGUGAGUAACGCGUGGGAACAUACCCUCCGGUUCGGAAUAGCUCAGGGAAACUUGGAUUAAUACCGGAUACGGCCUAGCGGCGAAAGAUUGAUCGCCGGAGGAUUGGCCCGCGUCUGAUUAGCUAGUUGGUGGGGUAAUGGCCCACCAAGGCGACGAUCAGUAGCUGGUCUGAGAGGAUGAUCAGCCACAUUGGGACUGAGACACGGCCCAAACUCCUACGGGAGGCAGCAGUGGGGAAUAUUGGACAAUGGGCGCAAGCCUGAUCCAGCCAUGCCGCGUGAGUGAUGACGGCCUUAGGGUUGUAAAGCUCUUUCGCUAGGGACGAUAAUGACGGUACCUAGACAAGAGCCCGGCUAACUUCGUGCCAGCAGCCGC